rnacentral:rRNA from 1 species
CGAGUGGCGAACGGGUGAGUAAUGCAUCGGAACGUACCCGGGAGUGGGGGAUAACUAUCCGAAAGGAUAGCUAAUACCGCAUAUUCUGUGCGCAGGAAAGCAGGGGAUCUUCGGACCUUGUGCUCCCGGAGCGGCCGAUGUCAGAUUAGCUAGUUGGUGGGGUAAAGGCCUACCAAGGCGACGAUCUGUAGCGGGUCUGAGAGGAUGAUCCGCCACACUGGAACUGAGACACGGUCCAGACUCCUACGGGAGGCAGCAGUGGGGAAUUUUGGACAAUGGGCGCAAGCCUGAUCCAGCCAUGCCGCGUGAGUGAAGAAGGCCUUCGGGUUGUAAAGCUCUUUCGGCCGGGAAGAAAUCGUAUAGGUUAAUACCCUGUGCGGAUGACGGUACCGGCAUAAGAAGCACCGGCUAACUACGUGCCAGCAGCCGCGGUAAUACGUAGGGUGCGAGCGUUAAUCGGAAUUACUGGGCGUAAAGCGUGCGCAGGCGGUUUUUUAAGAUAGGCGUGAAAUCCCCGGGCUCAACCUGGGAACUGCGCUUAUGACUGGAAGACUAGAGUAUGGCAGAGGGGGGUGGAAUUCCACGUGUAGCAGUGAAAUGCGUAGAGAUGUGGAGGAACACCGAUGGCGAAGGCAGCCCCCUGGGCCAAUACUGACGCUCAUGCACGAAAGCGUGGGGAGCAAACAGGAUUAGAUACCCUGGUAGUCCACGCCCUAAACGAUGUCAACUAGUUGUUGGGAGGGUAAAACCUUUUAGUAACGGAGCUAACGCGUGAAGUUGACCGCCUGGGGAGUACGGCCGCAAGGUUAAAACUCAAAGGAAUUGACGGGGACCCGCACAAGCGGUGGAUGAUGUGGAUUAAUUCGAUGC